rnacentral:rRNA from 1 species
GUGACGGUACCUGCAGAAAAAGCACCGGCUAACUACGUGCCAGCAGCCGCGGUAAUACGUAGGGUGCAAGCGUUGUCCGGAAUUAUUGGGCGUAAAGAGCUCGUAGGCGGUGUGUCACGUCUGCUGUGAAAAUCCAAGGCUCAACCUUGGACUUGCAGUGGGUACGGGCACACUCGAGUGCGGUAGGGGAGAUUGGAAUUCCUGGUGUAGCGGUGGAAUGCGCAGAUAUCAGGAGGAACACCGAUGGCGAAGGCAGAUCUCUGGGCCGUAACUGACGCUGAGGAGCGAAAGCGUGGGGAGCGAACAGGAUUAGAUACCCUGGUAGUCCACGCCGUAAACGGUGGGAACUAGAUGUGGGGUCCGUUCCACGGAUUCCGUGUCGCAGCUAACGCAUUAAGUUCCCCGCCUGGGGAGUACGGCCGCAAGGCUAAAACUCAAAGGAAUUGACGGGGGCCCGCACAAGCGGCGGAGCAUGCGGAUUAAUUCGAUGCAACGCGAAGAACCUUACCAAGGCUUGACAUAUAGAGGAAAAGUGCAGAGAUGCACUCCCCGCAAGGUCUCUAUACAGGUGGUGCAUGGUUGUCGUCAGCUCGUGUCGUGAGAUGUUGGGUUAAGUCCCGCAACGAGCGCAACCCUCGUCCUAUGUUGCCAGCACGUAAUGGUGGGAACUCAUGGGAUACUGCCGGGGUCAACUCGGAGGAAGGUGGGGAUGACGUCAAAUCAUCAUGCCCCUUAUGUCUUGGGCUUCACGCAUGCUACAAUGGCCGGUACAGAGGGCAGCAAUACCGCAAGGUGGAGCGAAUCCCAGAAAGCCGGUCUCAGUUCGGAUUGAGGUCUG